rnacentral:rRNA from 1 species
AGAGUUUGAUCCUGGCUCAGAACGAACGCUGGCAGCGUGGAUUAGGCAUGCAAGUCGAACGAGAAUUCGCGGAUUCAAGCCGCAAGGUGAGAAUUUGCGGAGGAAAGUGGCGAAAGGGUGAGUAAUACGUGGGUAAUUUGCCUUUAAGUUGAGUACAACCCGCCGAAAGGCGGAUUAAUACUGAAUGUGAUCGUCCCGCUCAUGCGGGAUUAUUUAAAGCCGGGGACCCGCAAGGGCCUGGCGCUUGAAGAGAAACCCGCGUCCUAUCAGCUUGUUGGUGAGGUAACGGCCCACCAAGGCUAUGACGGGUAGCUGGUCUGAGAGGAUGGUCAGCCACACUGGGACUGAGACAUUGCCCAGACUCCUACGGGAGGCUGCAGUCGAGGAUCAUUUGCAAUGGGCGCAAGCCUGACAAUGCGACGCUGCGUGGAGGAUGAAGGCCUUCGGGUUGUAAACUCCUGUCGUCCGGGAACAAUAUCGGGAGGGUUAAUAACUCUGCCGGUUGAUGGUACUGGAAAAGGAAGUCACGGCUAACUCUGUGCCAGCAGCCGCGGUGAUACAGAGGUGGCUAGCGUUGUUCGGAUUUACUGGGCGUAAAGGAUGCGUAGGUGGCUUUGUAUGUCAGAUGUGAAAUUUCAUUGCUCAACGAUGAAAGUGCAUUUGAAACUACAGGGCUAGAGUACAGGAGAGGAGCAUGGAAUUCUUGGUGUAGCGGUGAAAUGCGUAGAUAUCAAGAAGAACACCGGAGGCGAAGGCGAUGCUCUAGACUGAUACUGACACUGAGGCAUGAAAGCUGGGGGAGCAAACAGGAUUAGAUACCCUGGUAGUCC